rnacentral:tRNA from 1 species
CAUUAAAUGUCUGAAAGUAAGUUCUGGUCUCUUAAAUCAUAAAUAGUAAGUUAACGUUUACUUCUAAUGA